rnacentral:rRNA from 1 species
CCUACGGGGGGCAGCAGUCGGGAAACUUCUGCAAUGUACGUAAGUAUGACAGAGCAAGCCAGAGUGCGUUUCCGUAUUGGAAACGCUUUUAUGAGAUGUAAAAAGUCUUAUGAAUAAGGACUGGGAGAGACGGGUGCCAGCCGCCGCGGUAAUACCCGCGGUCCAAGUCGCAGCCACUUUUAUUGGGUCUAAAACAUCCGUAGCUCGUUUCGUAAGUCUUGCGUGAAAUCCGGCCUCUCAAGGGUCGGGCGUGCGCGAGAAACUGCGUUGCUAGAGACCGGGAGACGUGAAGAGUACGCAUUGGGUAGCGGUCAAAUGCAUUGAUCCAAUGCGGACUAACGAUAGCGAAGGCACUUCACGAGAACGGUUCUGACGGUGAGGGAUGAAGGCUAGGGGCGCAAAACGGAUUAGAUACCCCAGUAGUC